AAACACAAAUUUCGAUACCACACCCACGCCUCCACCAUAAAAAAAAAAAAAAAAAAAAAAAAAAUUGUGGAUCAUCAAUCACCGCCGACGUCCCCGCCACGUCUCGUCAAAAAUUGACAACUGUGGCCUGGUCGGAGAAAUGAUGGAAAACGAGUUCUCGAAUCGACUCUAAAUUGAUCAUUCUGCGAAUGAAACGUAACAAAUCGAGCGAAAUAAUAUCAAUUAACAGACUCUCCCCAGCAUGGCCGACGUGUGGUAAAAUAAUCGAAGCUGGCCGCAGACCGGCUCGGUUCUAUAGGCCCUGGUCUUCCUUUCCAUCCGAAGGUGAUUGGGUUUUCUAAACAAAAUGGCGCGGUGGCGGGUCCAGUCCGCCCUUUUCUCCAUCCCUGGGUAGAUCUGUAUAAUUUGAUGGAACGUCGGACGUGUCCGUCGAUAAGAUGGCCGUCGCCAUCUCGACCGGGAGGAAAGUUAAAAAGAAAAAAAAGAGUCGUCUGGUCUGGAUAAUCUGGUUUUGCGUCACGGAAACCGGAAAAGACUAAAGUAUUAAUAAAAAAUGUUAAUAGACGUUUUCUUUGUCGCGGCGGUUCUCUUCUUUCCGCCGCAUUCCUGGGUAAACAACUGUCGGUGGAACUAAAUAGCAGAAAAAAGGCUACCAGUUAAUCGGAGGCCAGACGGAAAAACUGUUUUUUAAUUCCAAAUAAUCCACUUUUUCCCUUCCGUCCGGCGCCAUUAAAUUAACUCGAUAAAUUUACCUAAUGCCAAAUGCUUUUAAGAAUAAAAUCGAUAAUAAGCCAAAAAGACGCACAUUUUGCGUGUGAACUAGUCGUUAAGGCCGACAAAUGACCAAAAUCAGAUAUCACCUGUUUGUUUUCCCAUCGUUUUUUGGCCCGCCGUCUUUACUGUAUAGCGUUAUCGUCAUAGCGCUUUUUUUUUAUAGUCUCGGUCUUAACUCGAGACGUUUCUGUAACUUUUUUUUGGCAGCGUACCACCGGCAUUUACGCGUUUUGCCGCGGUUAAUAACGGCGGGAGCCCGUUGGGUCCGGAUUUCCACCACCAAAUACGCUUCUGCCUUAAUGGAUAACGUCCGGCAUGGCUAAUCAUUAACAAAUUUUAGCAUAGUAAACCGGAUAGAUGGCAGAAAAACGCCAAUAAUACCCGUCCGAUCCGAGUACCCUACCCAUAAGCGGCUUAGGUCGUUAAGAUGGUUUUAAAAGGGGGCCUAUCCCCGUCGAUAACUGUGUCGGAAUUCUUUUUCUUUUAGACCGUGGGCCGGGUGACGGUCACGGCCACCAGCGUGUGUUCAAUCCGGUCGAAACGAAUUCGGGGCCUCCGAAUGGGUGGACCAAACUUACAUUGGAAGUAGGCCACUUACCGCCUUAAUUACAUUAGUGUGUGUUUUGAUAAUUUUCCGAAUGACAGACUACCUUGAAUCGAUGAGUUAUGUAUUUUAUUAAGCGGAGGGGAAGGACAAAAGUUGCCCUUGUUGUAGAAUUUUAUUGGUGUAACUUGUUUUUCUUCUUUUGUACGAAGCGGCGUCGAACAAAAGUAGUACCACGUACUAGAGUAAGUCACAGGACAACGAGAUAGCGGCGGCAAUCUGUUAAACGCCGUUUUAUCUCCCAAAAUUACUUUAUGACAAAACUGUCGAUAGAAAAAAAAAUAUUCCAAGCGACUCGGAAUGUUUUACGGUCGAAUAAUAAUAAUAAUUAGAUGGAGUGGGACGGAUUAUCGACCGUAACCAGGUAUUGUCUGUUUGUUUUCAGGUGGACAAUCCCGCUUACUUCGACAGCGAGUGCCAGAGUGCAGAUCGAGAAUCGGCUGUAGCCACGGUGGUGACCACGCCGGCCAAACUCAAGAAACAGCCAUGGUUGAGAUUGUGGAAGUUGAGCUUCAUCAAGAGCGAGAAAGUUCGCCAACGUCGGACGUUGGCUCUGAUGGUGAUAUUUAUCGUCAUUCUGAUCGUGCUGGUGGUAGCGGUGGGUCUGGCCAUUUAUUUAUCAGUGAGAGACAUGGGAUGGAGUUGGCCUACGCCGGAAGAGACCACCACCGACAGCCAAGAAAACUGGGCCGUGGCGGGAAAGUUCAGGAUAACUAACAGGGUGUACACGGCAGAAUUAGAAAAUCCUACCAGUCCGCCAUACAUUCGUCUAGUGGCCGAAAUUCUACAGUCGCUGGAUGACAUGUUCUUGCAAAGUCCUUUAGUCAGG
rnacentral:lncRNA from 1 species